UGAUCUCAGUUCGGACUGUAGGCUGCAACUCGCCUACACGAAGUUGGAAUUGCUAGUAAUCGUGGAUCAGCAUGCCACGGUGAAUACGUUCCCGGGUCUUGUACACACCGCCCGUCACACCAUGGGAGCUGGUAACACCCGAAGUCAGUAGUCUAACCGCAAGGAGGACGCUGCCGAAGGUGGGAUUAGCGACUGGGGUGAAGUCGUAACAAGGUACC
rnacentral:rRNA from 1 species